rnacentral:rRNA from 1 species
AACGAACGCUGGCGGCAUGCCUAACACAUGCAAGUCGAACGAGACCUUCGGGUCUAGUGGCGCACGGGUGCGUAACGCGUGGGAACCUGCCCUUAGGUUCGGAAUAACUCCCCGAAAGGGGUGCUAAUACCGGAUAAUGUCUUCGGACUAAAGAUUUAUCGCCUUUGGAUGGGCCCGCGUUGGAUUAGCUAGUUGGUAGGGUGAAAGCCUACCAAGGCGACGAUCCAUAGCUGGUCUGAGAGGAUGAUCAGCCACACUGGGACUGAGACACGGCCCAGACCCCUACGGGAGGCAGCAGUGGGGAAUAUUGGACAAUGGGCGAAAGCCCGAUCCAGCAAUGCCGCGUGAGUGAUGAAGGCCUUAGGGUUGUAAAGCUCUUUUACCCGGGAUGAUAAUGACAGUACCGGGAGAAUAAGCUCCGGCUAACUCCGUG